rnacentral:rRNA from 1 species
UACAGAGGGGGCGAGCGUUAUUCGGAAUUAUUGGGCGUAAAGGGCGCGUAGGCGGCCUUUCAAGUGACGGGUGAAAUCCCUCGGCUUAACCGAGGAACUGCCUGUCAGACUGGAAGGCUUGAGACCGGGAGAGGUGAGUGGAAUUCCCAGUGUAGCGGUGAAAUGCGUAGAUAUUGGGAGGAACACCAGUGGCGAAGGCAGAUCUCUGGGCCGUAACUGACGCUGAGGAGCGAAAGCGUGGGGAGCGAACAGG